rnacentral:rRNA from 1 species
AACGAACGCUGGCGGCAUGCCUAACACAUGCAAGUCGAACGAGAUCUUCGGGUCUAGUGGCGCACGGGUGCGUAACGCGUGGGAAUCUGCCCUUUGGUUCGGAAUAACAGUUGGAAACGACUGCUAAUACCGGAUGAUGACGAAAGUCCAAAGAUUUAUCGCCAGAGGAUGAGCCCGCGUAGGAUUAGCUAGUUGGUGUGGUAAAGGCGCACCAAGGCGACGAUCCUUAGCUGGUCUGAGAGGAUGAUCAGCCACACUGGGACUGAGACACGGCCCAGACUCCUACGGGAGGCAGCAGUGGGGAAUAUUGGACAAUGGGCGAAAGCUUGAUCCAGCAAUGCCGCGUGAGUGAUGAAGGCCUUAGGGUUGUAAAGCUCUUUUACCCGGGAUGAUAACGACAGUACCGGGAGAAUAAGCUCCGGCUAACUCCGUGCCAGCAGCCGCAGUAA